UACGAAGGGGGCUAGCGUUGCUCGGAAUCACUGGGCGUAAAGGGUGCGUAGGCGGGGCUUUAAGUCAGGGGUGAAAUCCUGGAGCUCAACUCCAGAACUGCCUUUGAUACUGAGGAUCUUGAGUUCGGGAGAGGUGAGUGGAACUGCGAGUGUAGAGGUGAAAUUCGUAGAUAUUCGCAAGAACACCAGUGGCGAAGGCGGCUCACUGGCCCGAUACUGACGCUGAGGCGCGAAAGCGUGGGUAGCAAACAGG
rnacentral:rRNA from 1 species